rnacentral:tRNA from 1 species
GGGGAUUUAGCUCAGUGGUAGAGCGCUUGCCUAGCAAACGAAAGGCCCCGGUUCAGUCCCCA